rnacentral:rRNA from 1 species
AGAGUUUGAUCCUGGCUCAGAACGAACGCUGGCGGCAUGCCUAACACAUGCAAGUCGGACGCUUUCGGGGUUUCGGCUCCGAGGGAGUGGCGGACGGGUGAGUAGCGCGUGGGAACCUGCCCUUCAGUGGGGGAUAACCGAGGGAAACUUCGGCUAAUACCGCAUGCGCCCGCGGAGUUGAUCUGCGGGGAAAGAUUGAU